rnacentral:tRNA from 1 species
GUUAUUCUAGUAUAAUAAGUACAACUGACUUCCAAUCAGUAAGUUUGUUUAAACAAGAAAAGCU